UUAAGCGACUAAGCGUACACGGUGGAUGCCCUGGCAGUCAGAGGCGAUGAAGGACGUGCUAAUCUGCGAAAAGCGUCGGUAAGGUGAUAUGAACCGUUAUAACCGGCGAUGUCCGAAUGGGGAAACCCAGUGCAAUUCGUUGCACUAUCGUUAACUGAAUACAUAGGUUAACGAGGCGAACCGGGGGAACUGAAACAUCUAAGUACCCCGAGGAAAAGAAAUCAACCGAGAUUCCCCCAGUAGCGGCGAGCGAACGGGGAGCAGCCCAGAGUCUGAAUCAGCUUGUGUGUUAGUGGAACGGUCUGGAAAGUCCGACGGUACAGGGUGAUAGUCCCGUACACCAAAAUGCACAGGCUGUGAACUCGAAGAGUAGGGCGGGACACGUGGUAUCCUGUCUGAAUAUGGGGGGACCAUCCUCCAAGGCUAAAUACUCCUGACUGACCGAUAGUGAACCAGUACCGUGAGGGAAAGGCGAAAAGAACCCCGGCGAGGGGAGUGAAAAAGAACCUGAAACCGUGUACGUACAAGCAGUGGGAGCACCUUCGGGUGUGACUGCGUACCUUUUGUAUAAUGGGUCAGCGACUUAUAUUCUGUAGCAAGGUUAACCGUAUAGGGGAGCCGCAGGGAAACCGAGUCUUAACUGGGCGUUAAGUUGCAGGGUAUAGACCCGAAACCCGGUGAUCUAGCCAUGGGCAGGUUGAAGGUUGGGUAACACUAACUGGAGGACCGAACCGACUAAUGUUGAAAAAUUAGCGGAUGACUUGUGGCUGGGGGUGAAAGGCCAAUCAAACCGGGAGAUAGCUGGUUCUCCCCGAAAGCUAUUUAGGUAGCGCCUCGUGAACUCAUCUUCGGGGGUAGAGCACUGUUUCGGCUAGGGGGUCAUCCCGACUUACCAACCCGAUGCAAACUACGAAUACCGAAGAAUGUUAUCACGGGAGACACACGGCGGGUGCUAACGUCCGUCGUGAAGAGGGAAACAACCCAGACCGCCAGCUAAGGUCCCAAAGUCAUGGUUAAGUGGGAAACGAUGUGGGAAGGCACAGACAGCCAGGAUGUUGGCUUAGAAGCAGCCAUCAUUUAAAGAAAGCGUAAUAGCUCACUGGUCGAGUCGGCCUGCGCGGAAGAUGUAACGGGGCUAAACCAUGCACCGAAGCUGCGGCAGCGACACUAUGUGUUGUUGGGUAGGGGAGCGUUCUGUAAGCCUGCGAAGGUGUGCUGUGAGGCAUGCUGGAGGUAUCAGAAGUGCGAAUGCUGACAUAAGUAACGAUAAAGCGGGUGAAAAGCCCGCUCGCCGGAAGACCAAGGGUUCCUGUCCAACGUUAAUCGGGGCAGGGUGAGUCGACCCCUAAGGCGAGGCCGAAAGGCGUAGUCGAUGGGAAACAGGUUAAUAUUCCUGUACUUGGUGUUACUGCGAAGGGGGGACGGAGAAGGCUAUGUUAGCCGGGCGACGGUUGUCCCGGUUUAAGCAUGUAGGCUGNCACUAUCGUUAACUGAAUACAUAGGUUAACGAGGCGAACCGGGGGAACUGAAACAUCUAAGUACCCCGAGGAAAAGAAAUCAACCGAGAUUCCCCCAGUAGCGGCGAGCGAACGGGGAGCAGCCCAGAGUCUGAAUCAGCUUGUGUGUUAGUGGAACGGUCUGGAAAGUCCGACGGUACAGGGUGAUAGUCCCGUACACCAAAAUGCACAGGUUGUGAACUCGAAGAGUAGGGCGGGACACGUGGUAUCCUGUCUGAAUAUGGGGGGACCAUCCUCCAAGGCUAAAUACUCCUGACUGACCGAUAGUGAACCAGUACCGUGAGGGAAAGGCGAAAAGAACCCCGGCGAGGGGAGUGAAAAAGAACCUGAAACCGUGUACGUACAAGCAGUGGGAGCACCUUCGGGUGUGACUGCGUACCUUUUGUAUAAUGGGUCAGCGACUUAUAUUCUGUAGCAAGGUUAACCGUAUAGGGGAGCCGCAGGGAAACCGAGUCUUAACUGGGCGUUAAGUUGCAGGGUAUAGACCCGAAACCCGGUGAUCUAGCCAUGGGCAGGUUGAAGGUUGGGUAACACUAACUGGAGGACCGAACCGACUAAUGUUGAAAAAUUAGCGGAUGACUUGUGGCUGGGGGUGAAAGGCCAAUCAAACCGGGAGAUAGCUGGUUCUCCCCGAAAGCUAUUUAGGUAGCGCCUCGUGAACUCAUCUUCGGGGGUAGAGCACUGUUUCGGCUAGGGGGUCAUCCCGACUUACCAACCCGAUGCAAACUACGAAUACCGAAGAAUGUUAUCACGGGAGACACACGGCGGGUGCUAACGUCCGUCGUGAAGAGGGAAACAACCCAGACCGCCAGCUAAGGUCCCAAAGUCAUGGUUAAGUGGGAAACGAUGUGGGAAGGCACAGACAGCCAGGAUGUUGGCUUAGAAGCAGCCAUCAUUUAAAGAAAGCGUAAUAGCUCACUGGUCGAGUCGGCCUGCGCGGAAGAUGUAACGGGGCUAAACCAUGCACCGAAGCUGCGGCAGCGACACUAUGUGUUGUUGGGUAGGGGAGCGUUCUGUAAGCCUGCGAAGGUGUGCUGUGAGGCAUGCUGGAGGUAUCAGAAGUGCGAAUGCUGACAUAAGUAACGAUAAAGCGGGUGAAAAGCCCGCUCGCCGGAAGACCAAGGGUUCCUGUCCAACGUUAAUCGGGGCAGGGUGAGUCGACCCCUAAGGCGAGGCCGAAAGGCGUAGUCGAUGGGAAACAGGUUAAUAUUCCUGUACUUGGUGUUACUGCGAAGGGGGGACGGAGAAGGCUAUGUUAGCCGGGCGACGGUUGUCCCGGUUUAAGCAUGUAGGCUGAUUGUCCAGGCAAAUCCGGAUAAUCAAGGCUGAGGUGUGAUGACGAGGCACUACGGUGCUGAAGUAACAAAUGCCCUGCUUCCAGGAAAAGCCUCUAAGCAUCAGGUAACAUUAAAUCGUACCCCAAACCGACACAGGUGGUCAGGUAGAGAAUACCAAGGCGCUUGAGAGAACUCGGGUGAAGGAACUAGGCAAAAUGGUGCCGUAACUUCGGGAGAAGGCACGCUGGUGUGUAGGUGAAGUCCCUGCGGAUGGAGCUGAGACCAGUCGAAGAUACCAGCUGGCUGCAACUGUUUAUUAAAAACACAGCACUGUGCAAACACGAAAGUGGACGUAUACGGUGUGACGCCUGCCCGGUGCCGGAAGGUUAAUUGAUGGGGUUAUCCGUAAGGAGAAGCUCUUGAUCGAAGCCCCGGUAAACGGCGGCCGUAACUAUAACGGUCCUAAGGUAGCGAAAUUCCUUGUCGGGUAAGUUCCGACCUGCACGAAUGGCGUAAUGAUGGCCAGGCUGUCUCCACCCGAGACUCAGUGAAAUUGAACUCGCUGUGAAGAUGCAGUGUACCCGCGGCAAGACGGAAAGACCCCGUGAACCUUUACUAUAGCUUGACACUGAACAUUGAGCCUUGAUGUGUAGGAUAGGUGGGAGGCUUUGAAGCGUGGACGCCAGUCUGCGUGGAGCCAACCUUGAAAUACCACCCUUUAAUGUUUGAUGUUCUAACGUUGGCCCCUGACCGGGGUUGCGGACAGUGUCUGGUGGGUAGUUUGACUGGGGCGGUCUCCUCCCAAAGCGUAACGGAGGAGCACGAAGGUUAGCUAAUCCUGGUCGGACAUCAGGAGGUUAGUGCAAUGGCAUAAGCUAGCUUGACUGCGAGCGUGACGGCGCGAGCAGGUGCGAAAGCAGGUCAUAGUGAUCCGGUGGUUCUGAAUGGAAGGGCCAUCGCUCAACGGAUAAAAGGUACUCCGGGGAUAACAGGCUGAUACCGCCCAAGAGUUCAUAUCGACGGCGGUGUUUGGCACCUCGAUGUCGGCUCAUCACAUCCUGGGGCUGAAGUAGGUCCCAAGGGUAUGGCUGUUCGCCAUUUAAAGUGGUACGCGAGCUGGGUUUAGAACGUCGUGAGACAGUUCGGUCCCUAUCUGCCGUGGGCGCUGGAGAAUUGAGGGGGGCUGCUCCUAGUACGAGAGGACCGGAGUGGACGCAUCACUGGUGUUCGGGUUGUCAUGCCAAUGGCACUGCCCGGUAGCUAAAUGCGGAAGAGAUAAGUGCUGAAAGCAUCUAAGCACGAAACUUGCCCCGAGAUGAGUUCUCCCUGAGACUUUAAGUCUCCUGAAGGAACGUUAAAGACGAUGACGUUGAUAGGCCGGGUGUGUAAGCGCAGCGAUGCGUUGAGCUAACCGGUACUAAUGAACCGUGAGGCUUAACCUU
rnacentral:rRNA from 1 species